UUUUCAUUUUGUUGCCUGUUAA
rnacentral:piRNA from 1 species